rfam:Daphnia pulex DAPPTscaffold_297_Cont8433, whole genome shotgun sequence.
GUCAGGAUGGCCGAGCGGUCUAAGGCGCUGCGUUCAGGUCGCAGUCCAGUACUCUGGGCAAGGUUUCGAAUCCCUCUUCUGACA